GUACGGAAGAGUUUUUUAACUACUCGCGCCGAAAACAAAUUUUAGAUAAGCGGGUAGACAAGUUUCCCUGGUGUUGGCGCAGUAUUCGCGCACCCCAACUUCGGU
rnacentral:sRNA from 2 species